rnacentral:misc_RNA from 1 species
AAACCUCAACCUAGACUUGGGUUUUGUUACCUAUAUCUAGAGUUGGACUUGGGCAUUUGUCAAUGCAAAUUGGCUUGCCUUAAAUAUGUUAGCAGCCCUCUUUCAUGAGCGGUUUGACUCGGCGUUAUAAGCUUUCGCUGAGGAUCAUCUUCGGAUGGACCACUCUUGUUAUAAAACUGCUCCCUAAUAUCUGUUCCAUCUUGUCUUUGGGCAUGUGGACAUACUCUGAC